rnacentral:rRNA from 1 species
GAUGAACGCUGGCGGCGUGCCUAAUACAUGCAAGUCGAGCGAACAGACGAGGAGCUUGCUCCUCUGACGUUAGCGGCGGACGGGUGAGUAACACGUGGAUACCCUACCUAUAAGACUGGGAUAACUUCGGGAAACCGGAGCUAAUACCGGAUAAUAUAUUGAACCGCAUGGUUCAAUAGUGAAAGACGGUUUUGCCGUCACUUAUAGAUGGAUCCGCGCCGCAUUAGCUAGUUGGUAAGGUAACGGCUUACCAAGGCAACGAUGCGUAGCCGACCUGAGAGGGUGAUCGGCCACACUGGAACUGAGACACGGUCCAGACUCCUACGGGAGGCAGCAGUAGGGAAUCUUCCGCAAUGGGCGAAAGCCUGACGGAGCAACGCCGCGUGAGUGAUGAAGGUCUUCGGAUCGUAAAACUCUGUUAUUAGGGAAGAACAAAUGUGUAAGUAACUAUGCACGUCUUGACGGUACCUAAUCAGAAAGCCACGGCUAACUACGUG